UAGAAUUCGUAUAAAUUGUUAUCGAUUUGGCGGGAAAUUUAAGCUCAUUACGUUAGGAGAUACACUCGCGAGUUUCACAACACAGUCAGCUGGGAAGAAAGCUCGUAAACUCGAUCGUUUUGAGUGGAGCGAGAAUAGGUUCUUGUCGAGCUCAGCGAAUUUUCUCUUCCUAUUUGAUCGUACCAGCGUAACUGACCAGACCUAAUUUUUCGUAUCGAAAUUAAAUUACGCGCUUAACCCAGGCUAAUAGUAUAAGUCCUAAAUAUUCAAAGAGCAAUCUCGAAAUAUUUAAGGCAUCCGUGGGAAUUUUAAAUAAAUCUUCGAAAAGAAUUGUUUUGAAAGUGGUCUAUAGUUCGGCCAGAACAGAUUUUGGUUCAAAGCAGGCGCUUUUAAAACAUUGCUGUGCCCAACAAAAACAUAGCGAAGGAAAAUAAAGAAAAAGACCAGAUCAGGGUCAAGUCAGGGGCAGAAGAACCCGUGGAAAGGGCCGAGCUCCCCGACGCAACUUUCUUUGGCAGACCAGCAGCCGCAGCAACGUUACAUAU